rnacentral:lncRNA from 1 species
AGGAGGAGGAGGAGGAGGAAAACAAAACUCCUUUCUGUUUUUUUCUCGCUCAGAAGGUCUUGCUUUGAGGUUUUGCUCGGAGGAGCCCAUCACACCUGCAUGUCAGAGGUUUUCUGUUCAUGGGAUUUUGUUUUUGUUUUUGUUUUUUUCUAAUGACUGUAUUUUCAUUUGAAUUGCCUCUUUUUGCUAGUGUAAAAUUAUGAUUAAAUAAUAAUAAUAAUAGUAAUAAUAAUAACAGUCAGCUGUUCCCAGAUUAGUAAAUUAUGUAUAAUUUAUUUUAUUUCUCCCUAUUUUAUUCUGCUUUGGAUUUGGAAGCUGUUAGGUAUUUAAAACUAAUUUCUAUUUCUAACUCAUACACACAUACACACAUAGACACACGUCUGUAUGUGUACGUACACACAAAUACUUGCUUCUCCACCCGUAACUUGCUCUGUGUUAACAGUUUUAGCCCCGGUAGCAUUGGUUCUGGUAUUUCAUAUGAAGCGGUGAAUUAAGAGGAAUGUCAUGUUCAAUCUUAAUUAACUUAUGCUCUUUCCUCUCAUCUUAGUUAUUUAAUUACCAAUUAUCUAGAGCCAGUUUUUGUUUUUGUUUGUUUUGUUUCGAAACACUCUGAAUAAGAAAAAAAAGACACUUGUUUUUAUACAAUUAUAACGCAUACAAUGUGAAAACAGAUUUAUUAAAAAAAAAAAGUUUCUCUGCGUCUUAACAAAUUUCUCCUGACUGAUGUGGGUUCUCCACUCUCAUGUGCUGGGUCCCUGUCUCACAGCACAUUCGAGACAAGCUUGGUUUUCAUUUCCUGACCUUGGGCAACAAGAACACUUUGUUUUAGCUCCAGGUAGAUGCUGCUGACAGGCAUCCAAGGCCAAAACAGCAGUGAAUCAGAGCAAACUCACUCUCUGGUUUGCUUUUGAUUUAUUUGAGGGAAACUGAAACUGUGCAUGGUAACCUGUAGCUGCUGAAACUCUCCAGUUGAGUUGAGUUUAUGUUCAUAACUGAACUGUGCCCAGACAAAACCACAAAGCAAGCCCAUAAUGACAUGCCAUUCUCUGUCUGGACAUUUUCUUCAGCACAUGUUGGCUCUGCUUUGCCCAAGAGUUUUCCCUAGGGGACAACAACAGCAAAGGUAAUUCUACUCAUGGCUAAAGUACACAUAGGUCACUUGGGGGAAAGCUGCUGUAAAUAGCGACUUAACGAUAACAACACAAUGCCCUUGCUCCAUUGGUUAGGUGAUGCUUUUAGGUAGAGGAUCUGAUAGCUUUACAUUCGUUCUAUGGCACGCAGAGGCCAAGUAAGAUAUGGCAGAGGACAUAACAUAAAGUGGAAAGAUGAAAGUUAGCAGUCAACAGCCCUCCCCCCUUCCCUCUCCUCAGCUUAUAGGUUUAAGUCAUGCCCAUCUGUCUUUCUACCGCUUCCCCAAAAAUAUUCAGAGAAGAAAAUGGGUUAAAGCCCUUUGUAAGUCAAUGAUAAUUUGGCUAGUUAUUACAAACAGGAGAAAAAUUACACACACUUCAGUGUAAUUUUACCCAAAGUAGUCAAGUGAACUCUGAAAGUUCAUUUGCUUCUAGCUAAGAACUACCUUUGUGUAAAACCCCUCCCAGUGAACAUACGUAUCAUGGUUGGAACCAAAUCUUCCCAUGGGGUAUGAAUAUGAAAGCAUUAAGUGUUCUAUGAUGAAGCCACUUCAUAUGUUUGAUUUCUAAAGUACAAUCUACCUUAGUUUGCUUGAAGGAGAUUAUCUUUCCCAUUCCGUGGUGUGCUUUCAGACAUUUCCAUAAUGCAGAAGCUGACCGUGUCCUCAGAGGCAUCCCUUCUGUCUCACGUAAAAACACAAGGAAUAAACUAUACCAUCCUUACUCUAAAGGGUAAACUAUUGAAUUGUAAUAACUGUAUAUUUACAAACAGGUUUAUAAAAAUAUUUGUCUAUCAAAUUAAUAGUGAAAUAAAACUUUAUGAGGUUUGCAAGGAAGAAAUACGAAAGCUACUUAAAGUGGCUGAUCUAUUUCAUUGCCUCUUAGGGCAGAGACAUUUCUGUAGCCAGGUUGACACAGUAUUUAAUUGUGCAGUCCCACAGGUUGAAGGUGACAUGCUGACGGGUCCCUGUCCUCCCCAAGUGUCUGUCACUGGCCCACUAAAGGCAGUAUUUAUUCAGCUCCCCUGGCUCUAAAGCACUUAGUCCUUCUAACAGUGCGGAUUUCACAAGUGAAAAAGUUUUGUUUGUUUGUUUUUUUGUUUUAUUUGUUUUUUACUGAUUUAAAAAAAAUAGAAAAAGAGACAAUCAAUGCCUGGAGCUUAAAACAAAGUCUGUGCAAACUACCAUCUCACUUGAAAUUUAAUAAAAUAAGAAAUUGUGUAAAUAUAACAUAGAGUUAUAGAUUUCUAUUUUGUUCAUAACAUAGUGUAAUAUAAGUUGUAUAUUUUCAUGUUUUUGGGUUUUAUGUUAUCAUUCAUGCCACAAUAAGAAUAAAACAGGAGUUUGUGUACUCUUGGGAAAAAGAAAAAGAAAAAAAAAAGAUGUGGGUCCCCGCC